rnacentral:tRNA from 1 species
GCGCCGGUGGUGUAAGGAGUAGCAUUGCUGUCCGGAAAACAGAAGGCAUGGGUUCGAGUCCCGCCUGGCACA